rnacentral:rRNA from 1 species
CCUACGUGCGGCAGCAGUGAGGAAUAUUGGUCAAUGGACGCAAGUCUGAACCAGCCAUGCCGCGUGCAGGAAGACGGCUCUAUGAGUUGUCAACUGCUUUUGUACGAGGGUAAACGCAGAUACGCGUAUCUGUCUGAAAGUAUCGUAAGACUAAGGAUCGGCUAACUCCUUGCCAGCAGCCGCGGUAAUACGGAGGAUUCAAUCGUUAUCCGGAUUUAUUGGGGUUAAAGGGUGCGUAGGCGGUCGGAUAAGUUAGAGGUGAAAUCCUGAGGCGCAACUUCGGAAUUGCCUCUGAUACUGUUCGGCUAGAGAGUAGGUGCGGUAGGCGGAAUGUAUGGUGUAUCGGUGAAAGGGUUAGAGAUCAUACAGAACAUCGAUUGCGAAGGCAGCUUACCAAGCUACUUCUGACGUUGAGGCACGAAAGCGUGGGGAGCAAACAGGAUUAGAGACCCGAGUAGUC